CGGCAGCACGGGGGGUAACCCCUGGUGGCGAGUGGCGAACGGGUGAGUAAUAUAUCGGAACAUGCCCUGUAGCGGGGGAUAACGCGUCGAAAGAUGUGCUAAUACCGCAUACGCUCUACGGAGGAAAGCGGGGGUCGCAAGACCUCGCACUAUAGGAGUGGCCGAUAUCGGAUUAGCUAGUUGGCGGGGUAAAAGCCCACCAAGGCGACGAUCCGUAGCUGGUCUGAGAGGAUGAUCAGCCACACUGGAACUGAGACACGGUCCAGACUCCUACGGGAGGCAGCAGUGGGGAAUUUUGGACAAUGGGCGCAAGCCUGAUCCAGCCAUGCCGCGUGAGUGAAGAAGGCCUUCGGGUUGUAAAGCUCUUUCGGCAGGAACGAAAUGGUUCGUGUUAAUACCACGGACUGAUGACGGUACCUGAAGAAGAAGCACCGGCUAACUACGUGCCAGCAGCCGCGGUAAUACGUAGGGUGCAGGCGUUAAUCGGAAUUACUGGGCGUAAAGCGUGCGCAGGCGGUUUCUUAAGUCAGAUGUGAAAUCCCCGGGCUUAACCUGGGAACUGCGUUUGAAACUGGGAGACUUGAGUGUGGCAGAGGGGGGUGGAAUUCCACGUGUAGCAGUGAAAUGCGUAGAUAUGUGGAGGAACACCAAUGGCGAAGGCAGCCCCCUGGGUCAACACUGACGCUCAUGCACGAAAGCGUGGGGAGCAAACAGGAUUAGA
rnacentral:rRNA from 1 species